AUUGAACGCUGGCGGCAUGCCUUACACAUGCAAGUCGAACGGCAGCACGGGAGCAAUCCUGGUGGCGAGUGGCGAACGGGUGAGUAAUAUAUCGGAACGUGCCCAGUCGUGGGGGAUAACGUAGCGAAAGCUACGCUAGUACCGCAUACGAUCUAUGGAUGAAAGCGGGGGAUCGCAAGACCUCGCGCGAUUGGAGCGGCCGAUAUCAGAUUAGCUAGUUGGUGAGGUAAAGGCUCACCAAGGCGACGAUCUGUAGCUGGUCUGAGAGGACGACCAGCCACACUGGAACUGAGACACGGUCCAGACUCCUACGGGAGGCAGCAGUGGGGAAUUUUGGACAAUGGGCGCAAGCCUGAUCCAGCAAUGCCGCGUGCAGGAUGAAGGCCUUCGGGUUGUAAACUGCUUUUGUACGGAACGAAACGGCUCCUCCUAAUACAAGGGGCUAAUGACGGUACCGUAAGAAUAAGCACCGGCUAACUACGUGCCAGCAGCCGCGGUAACAC
rnacentral:rRNA from 1 species